ensembl:lncRNA
ACAGAUAAUAUUUAUUGAUGUAUCUGAUAUUUAUUUAGGGAAAAGUAGUGGCAGUGACGUGUCAUUCUCUGUUUCGCAUGGAAACAUUCCUGAAAAAGUCUGCACACCAGAAACGAGUUUAAACGUUGAGGACUUGGACUUCUCAGAAAACGUUGAAGAUUCAUUCUCUUCCGCCUCCCUAAGCCUACAAGCCCCUCUACACCCAGAGCCCCGAGAUCUGUCUACCGUCCAGCCUGAGGCCUCGGUUCACACAGGGGUUACAGAUUCAGUUGGAGUGCUGUUCCUCAACACACCUGUAGAUCCUCCAAGCCUUCAGCCACAAAGCUCCAUGGCUGGUGCAACCACGGCUGUUUCUACAGCCCCCAAUCACCCAUCAAUCAUUCAGACCCCGCCAGCGAGACAGCAAUUGGGUGAAGACUUAUUUAGAUUGGUUCAGGUGAGACUACUUCGACUGAAAGUAAAUAUUGGCACCCAACUGUCUCCUAUGAUUGAUUCAUACCUGAAGUGUUUUUAUUCUUUGUUGCAGCAUAUCAACUACAUGGGAAUGAUGGAGGUCUUGGGAGCUUCAUUUUCCAGCCUGCAACUUGCCCAGCAGAGCUCAACUCUGGCUCAGUCCAACUUGAAUGCCUCACACCCUCAUGUGCCACCAUCUCAUGUAACCAAUUACAUCCCUCAACCAAAUGCCUUACCCGAUCAAACCACCAUUUCUGUGGCGCCCCAGACACAGUCACGUUUGCCAACUUCAGCAUCCAACAAUCCUCAACCCAGUCAGGCCACUGCAUGUAUGUUUGCAGACCGGCCUGCUUUACAGAUCGCAGGGAAAACCUCCCUAACAGAUGGCCACCCUCAAAUCACCAGGAAUCUGUCCUCCGCUGCCAGUGGUGCCGGUGUAAACGAUCAGGAAAUGCAUCAACUCUCUGUCCAAGUGGAGACAUCAGAAAUCCAGUUUAGACAGAGCAGAGGGUUAAUCCCGUCCGCCCAGGGGCUCCUGGUCACUACUGACGUUAGUCAGGCGGCUCCCAGUGCUCCUGUGGUGCUGCCUUCUGACGGUAGCAUACAAAAUGACACUACUCCCCAUGUCUUUAGCCUGAAAUUAAUUCAGCCUCGGUGUCCUCCGCUGCCCCAGCGGAGCGCCCCACACUAUCCUCCAGCCCAAGAACCCCAAAUGCUGUGCAUUGCAAACCCAGCAACUCCAGAACCCCAUCAGCCCGAGCUUAAACAAAAUCACCAAGUUGCAUCAAAGAGGGCAGAAGAAAGAAGAGUUGGGUCUUCAAGAAGACAGCUCAGUUUUAAUCAUGCACAUGAUCCAGCUCCCACGAACUCUCGACCCCAGAUUCAGACAUCAGACAGGUCCCGGGGACAGGAGUUCACGUCACUCCCUCCUGCUUCACCGGCUCACACGCCGGCUCCAGUGCGGGGCUGUUACCUGCUGCACCUUCAGCCUGCUGCACACAGCAGUCUCCUGCUCCCUAAACUACCCAUUCCAUUUUCUUCUCGGCCCUCUGCUGUCAUCGCAGCUCCAAUGAGACAAACACCUCUGGCCAAGCUCUUACAUCUACAGUCCGCACCAAAAAUGGCAAGCGAUCUGUCUACCACUUCAAGAUGUUUAAAUUAG